GUGCAUGAAGUAGAAUAAACACUUUCUGAAAUAUUUCAUGGGAGAUAAUUAACCUAACUGAGUUCAAUGUUGAACAGGAAUGAUGGGGUAUUUUUUAAUGAGCUCUAGUUAAUGCUGGUGUGAAAUAUAAGAAAAUGCAUCCUCAGUCUGAGCCCUAAUGCUUUCAUGUGAUGUCUGGUGUUGCACAUUGGACAAAAUCGAAAACAUGUAGCAAAACCAUAAAUAUUGUCCAACAUGUUUAACCCCACCACAUUAUGUAUGUAUGUGUCUGUCCCAAGUCAGGAGCCUGUUAUUCAGUGGUUGUGGUUUGUUUGUGUGUAAAAUAUUUGUUUUUUGAUCAUUUUUUUUUUAAAUAAGGCCGUGUGUUUUUCUCGUUUGAAUUGUUUUACAUUGCCAUUUUGGACCUUUUAAAGCUGACUAUGCGGUAUAGGCUUUGCUCAUUGUUGAAGGCCGUAGUUACCUAUAACUUAAUUUCUGUGUCAUUUUGGUCUCUUGUAGAAAGUUGUCUCAUUGGCAAUCAUACAACAUCUUCUUUUUAUUAUAUACUUUUGAAAUAUGAGCAAAAAGGAGAGAAUUUUCAUAUUUCAGGUCCUAAAAUUACCUUGACCUUUGACCUUUUGACCUCAAGGUUGAAGCUAAUCCUAUAUCUAAUGCAUAUCAUAAAGUUAUCAUAAUUAACAAAUGUAAUGAAAGAUUAUAGUACAUAAAGGUAAGUUUACUAUAGAAAAUUGAGCAAAAAAGGAGGUCAUUGUAUAAUUUUAGCUCCUAAAAUUACUUGACCUUUUGACCUGUUGACCCCUAAAGGUUGAAACCAAACCAAGAUCUUUUGAAUAUCAUCAAAUGGUCUUUAUUUACAAAGGUUGUGAAGAUUAUGGGACCAAUAGGUAGAUACACUUUUGAAAAUUUAGCAAAAAAGGAGAUUUUUGUUGAUUUUAGCUCCAAAAAUGACCUUGACCUUUGACCUUUUGAACUUUACAUGUCAUAAAUAUCAUAGUUUAUUCUUAUUAUAAGAUUAUAUGAAGUAUGGUUAGUUUUGCUAAAGAUUUACAUAAAUUAUACCAAAAAACAUCAGAACAGGGAUACCAAGUCUCCAUUUACGAACUGUGACCUUGACAUUCUAAAUCAAAA
rnacentral:lncRNA from 1 species